AUGUAUUAUGAUUUAGGACAUAUUGGUGGCUACAGUUGUAGUAGGAAUUUGUUUCAUGGGAUGUUUAAUACUUUUGAGCUUUCUAAUGGGUUUGGAUGCAAAGCCUUCAACUGUAAUGGAGAUACUAAUUCUAUGCGCCAUCAGGUUCUGAUUUAUACCUUUGUUUUGGUCAUUUAUACCUUUUCAUAUUUAGUAUUGGAUGGAGAUUUUCAUUUUUGUAAGAUACUACCAAAGAAAGUACAAUAUUCAUAA